CAGUAAAACUGUCAAGAAGUGGCUUCAUUACACGCCAGAAUGAGAGGAAGACAUCACAAGGAAUCAAAGUGAUGCCAACCAGAGUCAAUCAACUAAAAUCUCAGUUUUUUGGAAUGGGGAACUGUUAUAAUGGUUUCAUUCCAGGGGCAGCUGACCUUAUAGACCCCUCGGCACAAAGAGCAGCGUUUCUCAAUUUUGGUUCUCGGGCACCUCUACCCUCAAUAUUUUAGAUGUGUUUCUGUUCCAGAACACCUGAUUCAAAUGAUUCCGUGACAUCUUCUGCGUGAUAACAGCCUGUUAUUCACCUACAUAUUUAUGUCAGGUGUGUGGUAGAAGGGAAACACCUAAAACACGAAGUGCAGUGGUUCCUGAGGACUGGGAUUAAGAAACAUUGGCUUAGAGGCAACAAAGGGGACUAACGGAUCUAGUUGACUCCCAAGAGGGUACAGGCAUUCAAUAAGUGACUUUGGCUCAAAAUGGGGAACUCCUUUGCAGCAUUUAACAAAAACUGUCCAAAGGUACAUCAGCAAACCUUAGCAUUAAAACACAAUCUUGUUUCAGCUCAGUUAGUUUCUCCUGCUCCUCUACAGUCAUGUCCUUUCCAAAAACUGAUGAUUAUCUAAAUGAGCCCCUAAUCCAGUCAAGGCAUUCAGUAAAUGAUGAAGAGAAAUAAAAUGAACACUUCUCCUCGAGAGUCUUCAGAUGUUUAGCUAUUAUCUCACAAGUGCAGCAGUGUUGGCACCUUGCUGUUUCUUUGAGUGGAAACAUCUCAAGGUUGGCGCUUUGGACAUGUCAUGUUAUUGCCAGAGAUCCAUUUACAAACAGAAUGCAUUUAUUUUGUCUGUGCUUGUAAGCAGGUUCUUAUGUGUUCAGUUCAUUGAGAUGGUGAAAUAUAUCUGCCAUACCAACCUUUAAACCCACUCAUCUCUAGUAUUUGAAUAUUCAGAGUUUUCAUUUGUAAAAAAUACUCUUUAAAUACAGGGUGGCCCAUGAAAAAGUAGCUACUUUAAAAAAAAAAUUUUGUACACUUUUCAAAGUGUACGCAAACAACCCGAAAACUUUACAGCUGUUGAAAGACAAUAUUUGUAAUGCAAUUCAGAGCAUUGGUGCCCCAGAGUUGCAUUGCAUAUAUGACAAUAUGUCAAGACGUGCCCAAAACUGCAUUGACAAGUGGAUCAUUUCCAGCAUUUUCUGUAAAGAGUGAGUAAAAAUUUUGGCAUUUCAAGUUCUUUCUUUCUUUACGGAAGGCCGCCAGUAAUACUAUAGUAACGUGGGCUACUUUUUCAUGGGCCACCCUUAGUUCGUCCCAACGCUCAUACAUGCAGUGCUUCACCUUGCCCUGCAACAACCACAGACCUCCAUAUGGAGGAACUAGGCUUUAUGCUCUUCUCCCAUUUCAUCACACAAGGAUGAAAAUUUGCACAUUUUCACAGAUUGGAUCUUAACAAAGUUCACAAUGUGCACAGCAUCAUCCAUCAGAAGAACUACUUCUGCAAGUAAGGUCUUGGCAACGAAGGCCUCACAGUGCAAAAAGCAAUGCGGAAUAAAAACAUCUGGGUUUUUUUUUCCUUCACUCUGCUAGUGAAUCUUUUGGUGCACCUGACCUUGGUUAUAUGAGUGUGUGUGUGUGUGCGUGUGUGUGUGUGUAUGUGUGUGUUUGUGUUGUGUACCAGGUUGUGGGGUUAUUUUGCUUUCUCUUCAGUUACCACCGUUCAUCCACCAGAUGGUGCUAUUAGGCUGUGUUUUUCUGGAGGGCGUGCCGGCAGGUCCUGAUUCUUCACAUUUGGGAAUAAUAAUCAUCUUCACCAGAGGAGUAUAUGAGCAGCAGACUGCCAACAUCUCGUCAGUGUUUGCCAGUUUUGGACACCUUCGAGAUCCUCUGGGACAUCCUCAUGUUCUCUGGGUUCUGAAGAAACCUUCUCAUGAUGCCGUGAAUCUACUCACCGGAUGCCCGAGCUCCACAGUCUCACCUCUCCGUUUCUCUGCAAGUAUCCAGCUGGCAGUCAGUCUUGCUGCACCUCUGUGCCGUCGUGAAACUUACCUGUCCGCCCUCCAACCUCCAUCCAUCCUCGACCAGCCCUCGACCAGCCGGCACCAUCAGUAGUUUCCCCACUUCCUAGUACCGCUAGACCCUCCGUAGGUCUGAAUCUCCGAUCUACAGAUUAUCCUGUGAUUCAAAGCCUGGCUGUGACUCCGCGUUUCCUAGUGACGCCGUGGAUCAGUACCCAUUGGUGCCCAAGCUCAUACUCACCUUCCUCCGUUGAAAAACUCCUUCAGUACCUGUGUGCUCCGGCUGGCAGUCCGCUCGCUCCUUGUGACGCCUUCAAGUCCGACUUACCUGUCCGCCCUUCACCGCACGGACGGCUCCCACCUCCAGUCCUCUCUCUGAACUACCACCAACCUGGGCUCUGUGUCCGGUGAGAAUUCCAACAAGACCCAAAAGACCCAGACCAUCAGCACCCAACUCCCAAACAGCUCAGUUUAUUCCAAGAGUAAGCAGAACUACUUUCAAGUUGAUAACUGUAAUUUACCAUGUCCUCAAACUCACCACCAGUUCUGUUUCCAAAGUGCCCUGACGUUCCAGCGUUCUUUUUCCACUAUUGGUUAUCUGAGACCCUGUAGUUGACUUACCUGCUUGUAAUAAACCUCUUAAAACUGAU